rnacentral:sRNA from 2 species
AUAAUCUGGAAAGAGAGAGGGUGAGAAUCCUCGACUCGGGUUCGGCACCAUUGCAGGAGCAAUGGUGAACAUCACGGAUGUGAUGGCCCCGCAGGGGUGGAGGGCAGGAGCCCGACAUAAUCCCUCUCUCUCCGCCA